GGGCGCUAAGCCUGAUGCAGCCAUGCCGUCGUGUAUGUAAGAAGGCCUUCGGGUUGUAAAGUACUUUCAGCAGUGAGGAAGGUGGGUAUGUUAAUAGCAUAUUCAUUUGACGUUAGCUGCAGAAGAAGCACCGGCUAACUCCGUGCCAGCAGCCGCGGUAAUACGGAGGGUGCGAGCGUUAAUCGGAAUUACUGGGCGUAAAGCGCAUGCAGGUGGUUUGUUAAGUCAGAUGUGAAAGCCCGGGGCUCAACCUCGGAAUUGCAUUUGAAACUGGCAAACUAGAGUACUGUAGAGGGGGUAGAAUUUCAGGUGUAGCGGUGAAAUGCGUAGAGAUCUGAAGGAAUACCGGUGGCGAAGGCGGCCCCCCUGGACAGAUACUGACACUCAGAUGCGAAAGCGUGGGGAGCAAAACAGGAUUAGAUACCCCUGGUAG
rnacentral:rRNA from 1 species